rnacentral:rRNA from 1 species
GAUGAACGCUGGCGGCGUGCUUAACACAUGCAAGUCGAACGAUGAAGCCCAGCUUGCUGGGUGGAUUAGUGGCGAACGGGUGAGUAACACGUGAGUAACCUGCCCUUAACUCUGGGAUAAGCCUGGGAAACUGGGUCUAAUACCGGAUAGGAGCGUCCACCGCAUGGUGGGUGUUGGAAAGAUUUAUCGGUUUUGGAUGGACUCGCGGCCUAUCAGCUUGUUGUUGAGGUAAUGGCUCACCAAGGCAACGACGGGUAGCCGGCCCGGGAGGGUGACCGGCCACCCUAGGACUGAGACACGGCCCAGACUCCUACGGGAGGCAACGGUGGAGAAUAUUACACAGGGGGCGCGAGCCUGAUGCGGCGACGCCGCGUGAGGGAUGACGGCCUUCGGGUUGUAAACAUAUUUCAGUGGGGAAGAGGCGAUAGUGACGGUACCUGAAGAAGAAGCACCGGCUAACUACGUG